UACAGAGGGUGCAAGCGUUGUUCGGAAUUAUUGGGCGUAAAGGGCGCGUAGGCGGUGCGGUAAGUCACCUGUGAAACCUCUGGGCUUAACUCAGAGCUGCAGGCGAAACUGCCGUGCUUGAGUGUGGGAGAGGUGCGUGGAAUUCCCGGUGUAGCGGUGAAAUGCGUAGAUCAUCAGGAGGACACCUGUGGCGAAAGCGGCUCACUGGACCAUAACUGACGCUGAUGCACGAAAGCUAGGGGAGCAAACAGG
rnacentral:rRNA from 1 species